GCGUCCCAGAGGAAUCUGGGAAUAGCAAACUGAUCAAAAGGGCGGCGCCGCACCAAACCCUAGCGGCAACUGAGAAGGACGGAACGGAGAAGCGGGGGCCUCCGGGGAACCGACCCGGCGAAGAACCCUAGACCGAAACGGGAUGGAGGGGGCAGGGGGAAAGCUGGGAAGGGGAGGGGAACCUUGGCCUCGUAGAGGAGGGGCCCGUGGUAGGCGAGCACCUUCUCGCCCUCCGUGAAGGAGACCGAGGCGCCCUUGCCCUUGUCCCUGUCCUUCCCUCCGCCGCCGCCGCUGCCGCCGCCGCCGCCGCUCAUGGUCGUGGUCGUGUUGGAGCUGACGUCCAUCGGAUCCAGCGAUCUGGCAACGAGGUCCACCACGGGUGAGGGUUGCGGGAGCGAGAGAUG
rnacentral:lncRNA from 1 species